AUACGGAGGGUGCAAGCGUUAUCCGGAUUUAUUGGGUUUAAAGGGUGCGCAGGCGGAUAAUUAAGUCAGUGGUGAAAUCCUCCCGCUCAACGGAGAACUGCCAUUGAUACUGAUAAUCUGGAAUACGGUUGAAGUGGGCGGAAUGUAGCAUGUAGCGGUGAAAUGCAUAGAGAUGCUGCAGAACACCGAUCGCGAAGGCAGCUCACUAAGCCGAUAUUGACGCUUAGGCACGAAAGCGUGGGUAGCGAACAGGAUUAGAUACCCCAGUAGUCC
rnacentral:rRNA from 1 species